ACGACAGCUCCUCAACCACCUACAGGUCAUCUUCAGACGCAGACUGCUAACAAGUCGUCGUUGAGGAAGGCAACGACAGCUCCUCAACCACUGACCGAUCCUGCUCAAUCGCAUGGUGGUAACGAGUCGCCGUUGACCCAUUCUACAAGAGUCAAUGACGGAGUAGUCAAAAAGCGUUAGCUGCGACGGAUCAUGCACCUGCAUAAAAAAGACAUGUUGGAGCUAAAGGCUUGGAUUCAGUCAUUGACUCUGGCCAUGCAAAUGUUUGAAGACCGUGUCAUUGCUCGUAUUCUAGAGGGCCUG